UCCUAGGUAGAGUUAAGAUUUUUUAGGAUGAAUUGAAUCUACCCGUGAUGCUAAAUUCAUGGGCAGAGCAUGGUUUAUAGAAGGGCUACUAGUAGAAUAGGAGGGGGCUGCAAAUCAGAAUUCUAAGGUAGAGUGUAGGCUAAAAAUCCCAAAUAUUAUCAAAACAUUGAAGUACGGGGAUAUUCCCCAUUCACCACUACGUGAGUACCGUUUGUGAGGGUUUAAUCCGGUUUCACAGCAAACGAGCAAACUCCUACAGGAUGAAAAAUCUGUAACGUUUAAUGUGAAGGAAGUUUGUGUCUUUUCACGUGGUGGUGCUUUGGCAAUUACGACACGUUUACACGUUAGAAGAUUUUUGACAUACCGGUAAAACCCACACCCACCGGCCACCUCCACUGGAGCAGAGCAGCGCCGGAUGGUUGAAGCGUCAUGGCUCAAUCUCAGGAACGCAUUGGCUCGCUUACUCGACGAAUGCAAGAACAUGAAAGAGCUGAAACAAAUCCAUUCCCACAUUAUAACAUCUCCCGGUAUACCCAUACACGACCAUUACUUCCUUGUCACUCGACUCCUCUUCUUCUGCGCCACCUCCCAUUCGGGCUCUCUCAGUUACGCCACCAACGUUUUUCACCACAUCGAACACCCCAAUGUUUUCGUUUACAACACCAUGAUCAGAGCCCAUGCCACUAGGAUGAUCAAUGAUGGCAGCGAUGCCCAUUCAUGCCCGUCCCUUAUUCUCUACAAACAAAUGUUCAGGAAUGGCGUCCGGCCUGACCACCUCACGUUCCCGUUCCUUGCAAAGGAAUGCACGCGACGUCUCGAUGCGCACGCGGGCAAAAGCAUACACGUCCAGGUCAUCAAGGUUGGGUUGUCCGAGGAUUUGUUUGUUCAGAACUCCAUGAUCAACAUGUAUGCCUCAUGUGGGUUCUUAAACCAUGCACGAUGUAUAUUCGAUGAAAUGUCUGCACGAGAUGUCGUUUCAUGGAAUUCGAUGAUUAUUGGGUUUUUAAGGGGUGGGGAUCUUGACUCCGCAUUUGAUCUGUUCAAGAUGAUGAAGAAGAGAAAUGUCAUUACUUGGAACUCGAUCAUUACAGGGUUUGUUCAAGGCGGUCGACCAAAGGAGGCCUUGGAUUUCUUCCAUGAGAUGCAGGUUUUGGAUGAUGAUGGUACGGUUAGACCAGACAAAAUAACUGUAGCUAGCGCUCUUUCGGCUUGUGCGUCGUUUGGUGCACUCGAUCAUGGGAAAUGGAUACACAGUUACUUAAAGAGAAGCGGGUUGGAGUGCGAUAUGGUGAUUAGUAGUGCCCUUGUGGAUAUGUACGGGAAAUGCGGUUGUGUGGAGAGGGCGAUUGAAGUCUUCAAGGAGAUGCCUGAAAAGGAUGUCCUGGCAUGGACUACCAUGAUUUCUGUAUUAGCUCUUCAUGGGUUUGCAGAAGAAGCAUUUGAUCUUUUCAAAGAAAUGCAAAUCCAAGGAACGAAGCCUAACCAUGUGACGUUUGUCGGGCUUUUAUCUGCUAGUGCUCAUUCUGGUCUGGUAGAGGCUGGCCGCUGGUGUUUUGAUGUGAUGACGCAAGUUUACUCGAUAGAACCACAGGCUCAACACUACGCCUGCAUGGUUGAUAUACUUUCUCGAGCUGGGUUGUUUGAAGAGGCAGAAGGGCUUAUUCAAAGCAUGCCGAUGGAGCCGGAUGUGUUUGUUUGGGGUGCAUUGCUUGGAGGCUGUCAUAUGCAUGGUAAUGUAGAGAUGGCAGAAAGCGUUGCACACCAUCUUUUUGAUUUGGAGCCUCUGAACCAUGCUUUUUAUGUAACCUUGUCCGAGAUAUACGCCAAGGCUAAUAGGUUUGAUGAUGAGAAGAGAAUUAGAGCCUUUAUGAAAGAAAGAGGGAUCAAGAAGACAGUGCCUGGUUGUAGUAUGAUUGAAGUCAAUGGCAUAGUUCAAGAGUUCUCAGUGGGAGGGUCGCCCCAAGUUUUGAUGGAAGAGAUUGAAUGGGUUCUUAAUGGUCUCUGUGAGGAGAUGAAGAUGGGAGACCACCCUCCAGAUAUUAACAGUGGAGACUGAGACUGAGAGUACUUGCAAAGAGUAAGGAAUACUUCCCCAACUUCUUGGGGCAAAUUCUUUUAUAUUAUCUGCCCAAAAAUAUACCUCAGAAGAAGCAAGAUAUAGGUGGCAGGGGGAAAUCAUGGUUUUAAAAACUGGACCAGAAACGGAACCGUUUCGGCCACUGGUUCCCGGUGUUCGGGUCAUGGAUGAGUUGGCCGAAGAUGCCAUGUGGCAUCCUCCAUGGCCAUCCUCUCUCUUAAGCCACGACGACAACACGUAUGAUGGAAGAGCACGACUAAGAAGGAGUGUUCUGCAUGGACAAUGAAGCGGAUUCCGUCGGUGAAAAGGAAACCUCUCGGAGACUUUGGUGGACGACCUCAUCCCAACAACCCCGGAAGCCUUAUCCAUCUGGAACAUGGACAUCCAACUAUAAAUAGGUAUUCCUCGCUUGAGGUAAGGGACUUUUUGGAACGGCACUCUGAGUACCCCUUUGCAUUAUUUCUUCGGCCCGAACUAGCAUUGUUCUUACUUGCUCGGUUCGGCCACCUCUUCUGCCCAAUUGACUUGAGUGUCGGAGUACCUACCUGGGGAUUAAUUCCUCGGGCCUCUGACCUUUCUCCUGGUUGCAGAUCUCAAUGUGUGGCUUCGUUCUUUCACCUCGGCUUCGUCCAGUUGGCAAGAUUAUUUGAUUGUCUUUAGUUCACAACACCUUGGAUUGAAUGGUAUCAGAUUGGUCAAAUGGUUUGACCAUCCAAUAAUUCUUACCUGCUCGGUUCGGCCACCUCUUAUGCCCAAUUAACUUGAGCGUCGGAGUACCUACUUGGGGAUUAACUCCUCGGGCCUCUGACCUUUCUCCUGGUUGCAGAUCUCAGUGCAUGGUUUCGUCCUUUCACCUCGGCUUUGUCCAGUUGGCAAGAUUAUUUGAUUGUGUCUUUAGUUCGAAACACCUAAAAUCAGACAGUAUCAGAUUGGUCAAAUGGUUCGACCAUCCAAUAAGUUUGGUUGGACGGUUUGGGGUCCAAAAGUAGACCUAGAGCCAUGACUAGUUCCUAGGUCAACUGGUUUGACCAUUCAGUGUGAUCCUAUUUUAAAACCAUGGGGGAAAGUCUGUCCCUAGGAUAUGACACCCCUGGUAACUUGUUUUGUUAAAAUGAAAGGUGCACUUUUUAGAUCUAAGGUGAAUAUGCUACACAAAAUUUUGAAUAAAAUGAAGCAAAAUUACUGAAACUUCCCUUUUACUGCUCAGCGGGCUAAACAGCCAUCGCUUUCUGCUAAACCUUGCUCCCAUUAGAGAUCGUGACAUGUAUUAAUUGAAGGCCGUCACAUGACAUUCACAAAUUUUAUAAAUCCAAAAGUAUCUUGUCAUUGCAAAUUUAGAUGUAUUGAUUCCAGUUGAUUGGCUAAUGGAGAGA